ACGAACGCUGGCGGCGUGCCUAAUACAUGCAAGUCGAACGGUCUUUCUAUGGAAGCUUGCUUCCACUGAGAAGAUAGUGGCGAACGGGUGAGUAACACGUGGGUAACCUGCCCAUAAGAGGGGGGAUAACAUCCGGAAACGGGUGCUAAUACCGCAUAGUUUUCUUGAUCGCAUGAUCGGGAAAGGAAAGACGGCCUUUGUGCUGUCGCUUAUGGAUGGACCCGCGGCGUAUUAGUUAGUUGGUGAGGUAAUGGCUCACCAAGACGAUGAUACGUAGCCGACCUGAGAGGGUGAUCGGCCACAUUGGGACUGAGACACGGCCCAAACUCCUACGGGAGGCAGCAGUAGGGAAUCUUCCGCAAUGGACGAAAGUCUGACGGAGCAACGCCGCGUGAGUGAAGAAGGUUUUCGGAAUCGUAAAACUCUGUUGUCAGAGAAGAACAAGUUGGAGAGUAACUGCUCCAGCCUUGACGGUAUCUGACCAGAAAGCCACGGCUAACUACGUGCCAGCAGCAGC
rnacentral:rRNA from 1 species